rnacentral:rRNA from 1 species
GAGUUUGAUCGUGGCUCAGAACGAACGCUGGCGGCAGGCCUAACACAUGCAAGUCGAACGCUCUAGCAAUAGAGAGUGGCAGACGGGUGAGUAACGCGUGGGAACCUUCCCAAUGGUGCGGAAUAGCCCAGGGAAACUUGGGGUAAUACCGCAUAAGCCCUUAGGGGGAAAGAUUUAUCGCCAUUGGAUGGGCCCGCGUCGGAUUAGCUAGUUGGUGAGGUAAUGGCUCACCAAGGCAACGAUCCGUAGCUGGUUUGAGAGAAUGACCAGCCACACUGGGACUGAGACACGGCCCAGACUCCUACGGGAGGCAGCAGUGGGGAAUCUUGGACAAUGGGCGCAAGCCUGAUCCAGCCAUGCCGCGUGAGUGACGAAGGCCUUAGGGUUGUAAAGCUCUUUUGCCGGGAACGAUAAUGACGGUACCCGGAGAAUAAGUCCCGGCUAACUUCGUGCCAGCCGCCGCCGU